UUUAUUUACACAUCCUUUAUAUAUAGAGAGAGAGACCAAGAAGCCGAAGGGUAGCAAGAGAAGAGAAGAGAGCGGCGAGUGCAACAGCUUUCAUUUUGUGCCAUGGCUUGGGGGUGCCACAUGAACAUGGUUCUUCUGUUAGUUAUACUGGAGAUCAUUCUGCUCUUUACGACACCAUCUGGAGGGCUGGUGGUUCCCUGUCCAUCGGGUACGAGACCAACAGACAGUAUGUGCUCUGGCCUUUCAGUCUUCUAAAUCCUACUAUAGACUAGUAGUAUCAGUUAGCUCACUGGAUAAAUGUUUGUUUCUUCUCUGGAGACACAAAGUAGUACACCAUUCUUAAUGCUUAUUUUCGUUUGGUUUAGAGGAACUUUUUAAGAAUUCUAAAGGAUAGAAAUUUUAGAAGAAAAUUCUUUGUAGGUCUUUGAUUUAUACGAAUGGUUGUUAUUCCUAUGUAUGUAGGAUGGGAACCAAUCAUUCACAUUAUAAAGUAAUAAUAAUAGCAUUAACCUAGACCCAAUGAAGAGGUUUCUAUCCUAUGAAACCAAACACAUCUUUUCUCCUAUAUGAAUUGAGAUAAUGUCAUCUCACUACCUAUGAAUUUCCUAUUCCUAUGAUAUUAUAUUCUAUGAACCAAAGGAUACCUAAGGGUUUUGAUCAUCGAAACAGUUUAGGUGUGGAUGGUAAAUAAUCCUCAGAAUUCUAUUAAAUAUUUAUGUAGGUUUAUGUUUCCAUACUUGCCCUACAUGUGUGUACAAAAUUCAAAUUUGAUUUAUAAUGAAGGUGGACAAAUCAAAUAAAAAGUGUGUGACUAUUGGUAUAUGAAAGAAAAAGAAAAAUAUAAAGUUACUAUCACAAGUUCUCCUUCGCACACACAUUAUAAGAAUACUUUUUAUAUUGAUUGGAUGAUUAAAUACAGUGGUUUGUCGUCAUGCAUCCCAAGGAUGAUGAUUCCAACCAAUGAAAUAUCUCCCCACUCAUCUUAAAUCCAUGAAACAGUAUAUAGAAUAUAUUGCUAGUUCGAUAAAAAAAUUAGUGAAGAACAAAUUAUACUAGUUGAUACCCUGCAUAUUGUUGCGGAAAUGUUUUGCAAUACUAUUCAAUGAGAUAUUUUUGUAUGGCACAUGAAUAUUUGGAGUAAUAACAUGAAAACUAAAACUAAAAGUAUAUAUGAUUUAUUGUGUUAGAUUAUUGUAUAGUUGUAUAAUAUUUAUUAAACAUAAUACAGCUUAAUAGAAUGGAAAUUCUCACGCAUAUUGGCAUGUUGACGUGGGUUUUUCCUACAUGCAUGGUUUUAUAUUAAGGUGGGACUUUUUCUAUGCAUGUUGUAUGGUGAGGCACACUUGCAUAUUGAGUGGUAGGUUAAUAUGGGCUAUCUAUUUAGAUAUAGAAAAUUAUAGUUAUUUAUCAACUUUCUAUUUAAUUAUAGCUUUCUUUUGUCUUUAGUCGUUGUGUAUUUUGUUUCGGAAGUGCAUGCUCCACUUCAAAUUUAUGCUCCCAGGAAUGUGAAUGCAAAUUUGUAACUCAUAAAUCGUUCUUGCAGGAAGGGACGGGGCCAACUGUCCCCCGUGUAACAGAAAGCCUUGUUGUUGUUGAAAGUUUAUGGGCUUCCGGGCCAUUUAAAAUUCCUGAUAAAUCACGGAGGUCCAUUAGUUGAUGCAUGGCAUGAGCAAAUUCAUUCUCUAUGAAGGGUAGUCGAGAAAAAUUAAUACAUAAGGCACUCCUCCACUGACAUAUGUUCCUCCCUGUAAUACAUGUAAUAUGAAUGCCCCUCGAUGUGAUACGAAUUUUCUUAGCAAUCUGGGAGCAUGUGUGGUAUCGUUCUAUUUUUGUUAUGCAUACAACAUUGCCCUGCAGCAACCAAGGAUUCACAUACAGUUGCCCAGUAUUUCCCCGUAUACCGAAUGUAAUUCUAUGGGCAAUCGGCAUAGGCCAUGGUUCAGAGAGUCCCGUUAAAAAACUCAGCAAACAAAAGGUACUUGGUAUAGUGUCGUCUUUGCGGAGUGUUGGACUCCAUUUUUACCACGAGGUGCUAUAUAUAUUAUUUUUAUUCUAUUUUAGUUAAGAUAACCAGGCAAUCACCAUAUCCCAUCAAUGAAAAUAUAUUUUGCACCCUCAGUUUGCGAUAACGCAAUACACUUGUGUUGAUCAAAUGGAUUUAGUAUUGGAUCAACCAGUUUGCCAAUGGAAUAAAUCAUGUGUGUAUGCAUGGGCUCACUCGUAAGUAACGAUCCAUGCAAAACGUUUGGUGUAAUGUGCACGAAAUCUGUGCACGAUCCCUCCUGCUAGCUGGACCUGGACGUCUAUUUUAUUCCAACGGGUACAAAAACCAAGGUAUAUUCGCUUACUCGAGCUUAAAUGUAGUUGAUGAGUUCGUGUGCAGGUUUUACUUUCUUCUGUUAAUCAUUAGGUUUGGGAAAGGACUAGUAAUUAUCUUAGACUUAUUACGUAAAGACCCUACAGAGUUAGCGUCGAUUGUGCAAAUGCUCCAGAAGUAAGUUCAAUCAUUAUCGUACCAUAUCAGCAACUUUCUUUCAUUUCCUGAUAUCAAGUAAUCAUUUUCUUUGUUGUACAGGGUUUGGAAAAAGUUCAUCCGCAGCACUAGGGUGAAUGGAAUAAGGAGCUGCUAUUUUCCUUCGCCAAAGUAAGUAGUACUAGCUAAUUCCGCGCAUCUCUCAUUCACCCGCAAAGGGAAAUACCAUUAUCAUGCUUGAUUAUUAUUUUAAUUGAACUCUAUUUUUGUAAAGAACUGCUCGAGGCAGGGAUCCGCAAAUAAUUUAUGUGCAUACUACGUUUGCAAGUGGAUUCACAAGACGACCUCUGAGAAGGGUAGAUCCUCAAAAGAACUUGAAGUACGUAAACAAUAUUCAUAUUUUUAUUUUAUUCCAUCAAUUAUGUUGAGUUUCAUUCAUAUAUACAUAUUGAUCCCCUUCUUUAAAUUAGAUCAUGCGGAUGCGGGAAGACCUCCUACCAACUGAUCGCCUACGAGCAAUUCAAGAGGAAUUGGCAGGAUUCUUUGUUGAGCAUGUCAUACCCACAGAAGGGGAAUAUCAUUAGGAUUUCCUUGUCGAUGUUGGUGGAUAGAUAUUAGCUAGUUAGGGAUCACAAAAGAUGUUAUAUAUUGUAUAUAUGCAUGGUCGUGUACUAUAUGUAGUAGGGUCGAGUUGUUCGACCAAGCACGAAGAAAGAGAAGUCACUUCUCUCUACAUAUGUUCAUGACGAUGUUGUGUAAUUAAUGGUCCCUUCAUUGCUAUAUGUAGUACUUAGCGUUGAGUUGAAUGAACAAUAUAAAAUUAAAUUAAAUCCUAAAUGUAAAAGAAUUGCAGGAUAAACACAGAAAGAAAAGGGUAAAC
rnacentral:lncRNA from 1 species